AUUGAACGCUGGCGGCAUGCCUUACACAUGCAAGUCGAACGGUAACGGGCCUUCGGGUGCCGACGAGUGGCGAACGGGUGAGUAAUGUAUCGGAACGUACCUUUCAGUGGGGGAUAACGUAGCGAAAGUUACGCUAAUACCGCAUAUUCUGUGAGCAGGAAAGCGGGGGAUCGCAAGACCUUGCGCUGAUUGAGCGGCGGAUAUCAGAUUAGCUAGUUGGUGAGGUAAAGGCUCACCAAGGCGACGAUCUGUAGCGGGUCUGAGAGGAUGAUCCGCCACACUGGAACUGAGACACGGUCCAGACUCCUACGGGAGGCAGCAGUGGGGAAUUUUGGACAAUGGGGGCAACCCUGAUCCAGCCAUGCCGCGUGAGUGAAGAAGGCCUUCGGGUUGUAAAGCUCUUUCGGCCGGGAAGAAAUCGUAUCAGCUAAUACCUGGUGCGGAUGACGGUACCGGCAUAAGAAGCACCGGCUAACUACGUGCCAGCAGCCGCCGUAAUAC
rnacentral:rRNA from 1 species